AAAUACGUACAAACCAUAUAUCAAAUAAACUUAUAGAUUUUAGAAUGUAUUAAGAACGUUCCUUCUUUCUCAGUUUAGGAGGGCAGUCCUAAGAACAGGGCUGGCUCUUAAAGGCAUGAGAGGACAAU
rnacentral:snoRNA from 1 species